rnacentral:lncRNA from 1 species
CUAUUUUUAGUUCUUUGAGAAAUCUCCACACUGUUUUCCAUAGGGAUUGAACUAAUUUACGUUCUCACUGACAGUGUAUAAGCAUUCCCUUUUCUCCUCAACCUCACCAAUAUCUGUUGUUUUUUGACUUUUUAAUAGGAGCCAUUCUGAGUGGUUUAAGUUGGUGUCUCACUGUGGUUUUAAUUUGUGUUUCUCUGAUGAGUAAUGAGUGAUGUUGAGCAUUUUUUCAUAUGUUUGUUGCUGCUUGUAUGUCUUCUUUUGAAAAAUUUCUGAUUGUGUCCUUUGCCCACUAGAGUAGGAGGUCCCCAGGCCCCAGGCCACGGACUGGUCCAUGGCCUGUUAGGAAUCAGGUUGCACAGCAGGAGGUGAGUGGCCAGCAAGCAAGUAAAGCUUCAGCUGUAUUUACAGCUGCUCCCCGUCACUCACAUUACCUCCUGAACUCCGCCUCCUGUCAGAUCAGCGGUGACAUUAUAUUCUCACAGGAGUAUGAACCCUAUUGUGGACUGUGCGUGCAAAGGAACUAGGUUGUGUGCUGCUUAUGAGAAUCUAAUGCCUGAUGAUCUGUCACUAUCUCCCAUCACCCACAGAUGGAACCAUCUAGUUGCAGGAAAACAAGCUCAGAACUCCCACUGAUUCUACAUUAUGAGAAUUAACAGGACCAUCCUUUCUGGAGCUGCUCAAGAUCGGCUGAAGGAAGCAAAGCUACAUUUCUUGGUAAGAGUAUUAAGAUGCAUCAUUCCUA